GAGUUUGAUCCUGGCUCAGAGCGAACGCUGGCGGCAGGCUUAACACAUGCAAGUCGAGCGCCCCGCAAGGGGAGCGGCAGACGGGUGAGGAACACGUGGGAACGUACCCUUCAGUUCGGAACAACCCAGGGAAACUUGGGCUAAUACCGGAUAAGCCUUACGGGGAAAGAUUUAUCGCUGAAGGAUCGGCCCGCGUCUGAUUAGCUAGUUGGUGAGGUAAUGGCUCACCAAGGCUACGAUCAGUAGCUGGUCUGAGAGGAUGAUCAGCCACACUGGGACUGAGACACGGCCCAGACUCCUACGGGGCGCAGCAGA
rnacentral:rRNA from 1 species